rnacentral:rRNA from 1 species
UACGUAGGGUACGAGCGUUAAUCGGAAUUACUGGGCGUAAAGCGUGCGCAGGCGGUUCGUGAUGUCUGAUGUGAAAGCCCCCGGGCUCAACCUGGGAAUUGCAUUGGAAACUAGCGGGCUGGAGUGUGGCAGAGGGGGGGUGGAAUUCCACGUGUAGCAGUGAAAUGCGUAGAGAUGUGGAGGAACACCGAUGGCGAAGGCAGCCCCCUGGGCUAACACUGACGCUCAUGCACGAAAGCGUGGGGAGCAAACAGG